rnacentral:rRNA from 1 species
AAACUUGAGCUAAUACCGGAUACGGCUUAGCGGCGAAAGAUUUAUCGCCGGAGGAUUGGCCCGCGUCCGAUUAGCUAGUUGGUGUGGUAAUGGCGCACCAAGGCGACGAUCGGUAGCUGGUCUGAGAGGAUGAUCAGCCACAUUGGGACUGAGACACGGCCCAAACUCCUACGGGAGGCAGCAGUGGGGAAUAUUGGACAAUGGGCGCAAGCCUGAUCCAGCCAUGCCGCGUGAGUGAUGAAGGCCUUAGGGUUGUAAAGCUCUUUCACCCACGACGAUAAUGACGGUAGUGGGAGAAGAAGCCCCGGCUAACUUCGUGCCAGCAGCCGCGGUAAUACGAAGGGGGCUAGCGUUGUUCGGAAUUACUGGGCGUAAAGCGCGUGUAGGCGGGUCUUUAAGUCAGGGGUGAAAUGCCAAGGCUCAACCUUGGAACUGCCUUUGAUACUGGAGAUCUUGAGUCCGGGAGAGGUGAGUGGAACUGCGAGUGUAGAGGUGAAAUUCGUAGAUAUUCGCAAGAACACCAGUGGCGAAGGCGGCUCACUGGCCCGGAACUGACGCUGAGACGCGAAAGCGUGGGGAGCAAACAGGAUUAGAUACCCUGGUAGUCCACGCUGUAAACGAUGGAUGCUAGCCGUUGGGGAGCUUGCUCUUCAGUGGCGCAGCUAACGCUUUAAGCAUCCCGCCUGGGGAGUACGGUCGCAAGAUUAAAACUCAAAGGAAUUGACGG